UCGAGCUGAGGACAGAAGAGUUGAUUCAAACUAAGAAAAGAACUCAGAAGCUAAGUCCUCAGGCUGCUCAUCCUGGGAGAAGGAGCAGUGAGGGCUGGACUUUGGGUGAGGCAGUUAUCACUGAACAUGUUCAUGGCUAGAAACUCAACAACUGCAAUGUAAGAGUGUGCAGCAACCUCCACCAUCAUUCUGCGGUCCCCCAUUCUGACCUCAGGCCAGUCCAGCUCUAGACUUCCAUCUUUUCUCCCUAGCCUGUGGCUCAGAUAAUGAGAAUGAAGAGAUUCAAAGGUUUUCUCCAUCCUAGUGAAGACUCGGGGGUCCUUGAGCACCCCACUCUUGCCAGGGCUGCAGGGAUGGAGCACUUACCCUGGGUUCCUGCUUCAAGCACUGUGAUCUGCAAAGCAGUAGCAUCAUCUCCCCAGUCUAUCCCCUCAACUCCAGCAUCCUGGAUGGAGAGCAAAGAACCCAAUGUUGGGAGAAUUUCCCCAAGCCCAAGGGGCCGGAAGAGACAAAAGGCUUUGAAAAGUUCAAUGACUGAAAACUCCAAUUGCAUUAAAGUCUACAACCCUGAGAGGAUGCUGCUCAACUUCCAUGUCCUCAGGGCUGGGAUUAACCAUGACAAUGUAAAACACAGGCAGUUAUGCCAAGAACCGGAUGAAUGAACAACUACAAAGCUCCUAAUACCUUCAGCGCCCCAAGGACUAAAUAACACUAUUCUAUUCUUCACAAUGAAGUGCCACCCUGAACACAUGACUAUAAAUGUGACUGACCUCAA